CCUACGGGUGGCUGCAGUCGAGGAUCUUCCGCAAUGGGCGAAAGCCUGACGGAGCGACACCGCGUGCAGGAUGAAGGCCUUCGGGUUGUAAACUGCUGUCACGCUAUGGGAAACCUCGGAUGUGAACAGCAUCCGAGCUGACUAAAGCGAGAGGAAGCACCGGCUAACUCUGUGCCAGCAGCCGCGGUAAUACAGAGGGUGCAAACGUUGCUCGGAAUCACUGGGCAUAAAGCGCAUGUAGGCGGUCCACUAAGUCUGGUGUGAAAUCCCUCGGCUCAACCGGGGAACUGCAUUGGAUACUGGUGGGCUUGAGAGUUGUAGGGGUGGACGGAACUCCAGGUGGAGCGGUGAAAUGCGUAGAUAUCUGGAGGAACACCGGAGGCGAAAGCGGUCCACUGGGCAACUUCUGACGCUGAGAUGCGAAAGCUAGGGUAGCAAACGGGAUUAGAUACCCUGGUAGUC
rnacentral:rRNA from 1 species